UACGAAGGGGGCUAGCGUUGUUCGGAAUUACUGGGCGUAAAGCGCACGUAGGCGGAUAUAUAAGUCAGGGGUGAAAUCCCAGAGCUCAACUCUGGAACUGCCUUUGAUACUGGGUAUCUUGAGUAUGGAAGAGGUGAGUGGAAUUCCGAGUGUAGAGGUGAAAUUCGUAGAUAUUCGGAGGAACACCAGUGGCGAAGGCGGCUCACUGGUCCAUUACUGACGCUGAGGUGCGAAAGCGUGGGGAGCAAACAGG
rnacentral:rRNA from 1 species